rnacentral:rRNA from 1 species
GUCCUGUUGAUGAUAAUUUCAGGUCUGACCUGCCCGAUGAUUAGAAUUAAAUGGCCGCGGUAUAUUGACCGUGCAAAGGUAGCAUAAUCAUUAGUUUUUUAAUUGAAAGCUGGAAUGAAUGGUUUAAUGAAAAAAUUUCUGUCUCUUUAAAAAUUUUUUAGAAUUUUAUUUUUGAGUGAAAAGGCUUAAAUGUGCAUAGAAGACGAGAAGACCCUAUAGAGUUUUAUAUUUUCUUUAAAGUUUUAAUUUUUAAGGUUUAAAAAAUUUUUUUUAAAAAAAGUAUUUUAUUGGGGUGAUAGAAAAAUUGAUAGAACUUUUUUUAAAAUUUAACAUUUUUUUAUGAGUAUUUGAUCCUUUUAUAGAGAUUGAAAGAUUAAAUUACCUUAGGGAUAACAGCGUAAUUGUUUUUAGAGUUCUUAUCGAAAGAACGGAUUGCGACCUCGAUGUUGGAUUAAAAUUUUUUGUUGGUGUAGAAGCUAAUAUAAUAGGUCUGUUCGACCUUUAAA